rnacentral:rRNA from 1 species
CCUACGGGAGGCUGCAGUAGGGAAUAUUGCUCAAUGGGCGAAACCCUGAAGCAGCAAAGUCGCGUGGAGGAUGAAGGUUCUCGGAUUGUAAACUCCUUUUGUUAGAGAAGAUAAUGACGGUAUCUAACGAAUAAGCACCGGCUAACUCCGUGCCAGCAGCCGCGGUAAUACGGAGGGUGCACGCGUUACUCGGAAUCACUGGGCGUAAAGCGCGCGUAGGCGGGAUAGCAAGUCAGAUGUGAAAUCCUAUGGCUUAACCAUAGAACUGCAUUUGAAACUGUUAUUCUAGAGUAUGGGAGAGGUAGGCGGAAUUCUUGGUGUAGGGGUAAAAUGCGUAGAGAUCAAGAGGAAUACUCAUUGCGAAGGCGACCUGCUAGAACAUAACUGACGCUGAUGCGCGAAAGCGUGGGGAGCAAACAGGAUUAGAUACCCUUGUAGUC